GACGAACGCUGGCGGCGCGCCUAACACAUGCAAGUCGAACGAGCGAGAGAGAGCUUGCUUUCUUGAGCGAGUGGCGAACGGGUGAGUAACGCGUGAGGAACCCGCCUCAAAGAGGGGGACAACAGUUGGAAACGACUGCUAAUACCGCAUAAGCCCACGGUGCCGCAUGGCACAGAGGGAAAAGGAGCAAUCCGCUUUGAGAUGGCCUCGCGUCCGAUUAGCUAGUUGGUGAGGUAACGGCCCACCAAGGCGACGAUCGGUAGCCGGACUGAGAGGUUGAACGGCCACAUUGGGACUGAGACACGGCCCAGACUCCUACGGGAGGCAGCAGUGGGGAAUAUUGCACAAUGGGGGAAACCCUGAUGCAGCGACGCCGCGUGGAGGAAGAAGGUCUUCGGAUUGUAAACUCCUGUUGUUGGGGAAGAUAAUGACGGUACCCAACAAGGAAGUGACGGCUAACUACGUG
rnacentral:rRNA from 1 species